rnacentral:rRNA from 1 species
AGUGAACGCUGGCGGUAGGCCUAACACAUGCAAGUCGAACGGCAGCACAGUAAGAGCUUGCUCUUACGGGUGGCGAGUGGCGGACGGGUGAGGAAUACAUCGGAAUCUACUUUUUCGUGGGGGAUAACGUAGGGAAACUUACGCUAAUACCGCAUACGACCUACGGGUGAAAGCAGGGGAUCUUCGGACCUUGCGCGAUUGAAUGAGCCGAUGUCGGAUUAGCUAGUUGGCGGGGUAAAGGCCCACCAAGGCGACGAUCCGUAGCUGGUCUGAGAGGAUGAUCAGCCACACUGGAACUGAGACACGGUCCAGACUCCUACGGGAGGCAGCAGUGGGGAAUAUUGGACAAUGGGCGAAAGCCUGAUCCAGCCAUACCGCGUGGGUGAAGAAGGCCUUCGGGUUGUAAAGCCCUUUUGUUGGGAAAGAAAAGCAGCAGGUUAAUACCCCGCUGUUCGGACGGUACCCAAAGAAUAAGCACCGGCUAACUUCGUG